CUUCCCAUUAUAUUUUCUCUCCUCUUUGAAAACACUUUGCUCUCCCUCUCCUCGUAUGCUCGAUAAGAAGCCCUUUUUUCAUUUCUCUAUCUUCUAUUCUUUCUGUGCGUUCAGUGCAAUCCAAUUUCAUGGCAUCUGCAUCUACUUCUGCUGGAUAUUUAAUGCCCACCUCUGACGAGUUUGUCCCAUACAAGCCUCCCACCUCUAGACUUGCCUUCCGAAGAGAUAAGAGGUAUCAUGUGUUUCUGAGUUUCAGGGGACCAGAUGUCAGAAACACUCUGGUUGCUCAUCUCUACCAAGCUCUCUGCGCGGCAGGACUGUAUGUCUUCAUAGACUCUGACAAAUUGGAAAAGGGUGAAAUAAUUGAGUUAAGCUUGGAAAGAGCAAUCGAGAGCAGCGCCAUAUGCAUUCCUAUAUUUUCCAAAGACUAUGCAGGCUCAAUUUGGUGUCUCAAGGAGGCCGCUGCAAUGUUGAGCACUCCUGAUUUAAUCAUUCCUCUCUUUUAUCAUCUGAAUCCAACUCAUGUUAGAUAUCCUCUAAAUGACUCCAGUCCCUACAAGCAAUCAUUUGAAAAAUAUUCCACGCAAGUUCGAUACCCACGAGAAGAGAUUGAUGGGUGGAAGGAUGCCCUUCUGGAGAUCUGCAAACGCUCAGGAUGGACCUUGGAUGACAAAGGCGACGAAGCUCAGCUAGUAAAGAUGGUUGUGAAUGACCUUAAUAGGACAUUCGGCAGAACGCCGUUACCGCUUCCCAAGCAUCCAGUGGGAAUGGAAAGAGUAAAAAAUGCUCUCAUUCAUAAAUUAAAUCUCAAUUCAAUGCAUGAGGUGGUCAAAGUUGGAAUAUGGGGACUUGGUGGUUUUGGCAAGACCGCGAUUGCUAAGGCUGUGUACAAUCAAAUUUAUCCUGAUUUUGAGGUCGCUUCCUUUGUAUUAAAUGUCCGCGUGAAUGCUGCAGACCACAAAGGCCUUCCGAAGUUGCAGAGACAAAUUCUUAAAGAUUUGACCAAUUAUGAAGAUAAAGUGUGUAGUGUUGAUCAUGGCGAGUCUUUGUUCAUGGAUCGUUUGGGAGGAAAACAUGUGCUGCUUAUCUUAGAUGAUGUGGAUCCUGAUGGGCAAUGGGAUGCUGUUGUACAAUUGAAAGCUCUCGCUGGGAAUUGGCUGGAACGAGUUGACCCUCGCAGCAGAGUUAUUAUAACUUCCAGAAACAAACAUGUUCUCGAUGUUGCUGGGGUCUCAAAGAAUUGCAUCUACGAGAUGAGGGGAUUGGACAGAAAUGAAGGUCUCGAAUUGUUUAGUAAUUAUGCUUUUCGCACAAAAUCUCCAAGUCCCGGGUACGAAGAUCUGUCCGAAAAAAUAGUGGAAGCUUGUAAGGGGCAUCCUCUUUCAUUGGAAAUAAUGGGAUCUUAUUUAUCUCAUAAGCAGAAUAACCUAGGUUGCUGGACUGAAGCAGCACUUAAUGACAUUACUGGCGACCUAGACAUUCGCAGAGUACUCUACAUCAGUUAUAAUUCUCUUAGUAAUGAUGAAAAAGAAAUAUUUGUUGACAUUGCUUGCUUUUUCAUUGGAGAAUGCCAUAAAAAUCCCACCCUUUUCUGGAAAUCCUUGUAUAAGAAGGUAGACUCUGCUCUAUGCAAUCUUUCAGAUAAGUUACUAAUAAAGAUUGACAACCAAGGUGUAUUUGAUAUGCAUGACCUUUUGCGAGAUAUGGGGCGAAACAUUGCUGAAGAAGAAAAGGAUGGUAUCCGACUCUGGGAGGCUGCCCAUUUAAGCACUGCAUACAACAACAAUCUCUCUCACCUUCGAAUCAAUGGAGGUAAUCCACAAAGGCUUGAUCUGCUCUGCAGACCUGGUCUUCGCUAUCUUCAUUUGCAGAAUUUGCUCAUCAAAGGCAUGACAGAAGACACACUAGCCCUGCUUCCUCCAAGUUUGAUAUGGUUGAGGCUGGAAAAUUGUAGCUUUUCUAUUGGGAUGGAUAGAGCAAUAAAACAACCAAGGGACUCCAGACUUGAAGAUAACAUUUGGCAAUUGAAGAUUGUGCAACUAAACUCCUGCCACGGCAAUGACAACCAUUCUAUCUCGUCCCUAUUUUCACUUCCUAUUAUAAAACUGCAGCAUUUAGAAUUGAGGGGAUGUAGAAAUAUAAAUAGCCUCCCCGAUACCGUUGGCAACCUGUCACAGCUGCAACACUGGGACUUGGAAGGGUGUGUAAAGUUAGAGGACCUACCUAAUAACAUUGGCAAACUAUCACAGCUGAAGCACUUGAAUUUGAGGGGAUGUAGAAACUUAAACAACCUCCCCGAUACCGUUGGGAACCUGUCACAAUUGCAACAUUUGGACUUGGAAGGGUGUGUAAAGUUAAAUAACCUACCUGAUACCAUUGACAAGCUCUCAAAUCUGGAAUAUUUGAGUUGGAAGGAUGGAAAGAAUGUAAUGUUCAUUUAAGAACGAUCUCCUCAGCUGUAGCUUUGAAGGACUCUAACAGAGCUGGAGUAUUCAAGGCAAGAAAUUGAGACAAUAUGACAGAGGAAUAAAAAAUGAACACCAACCAGAGCUGCAAAGUACCAGCCCUGAACCACUACAGUGCAACUGCCUAGAAGACAGUAAUGGUGGUCUUAAAAGGCUAGCAAUAUUUUUCUUUUACGUCAACAACAAUCACCAUCCUCACAUUUCCUACUUUAAUGUAUGUAUUUAUAGUUUUUUGAGCAAUUAUUUAACAGUUCAAUAUUAUAUGAGUUUUUAAGGGUUUUAA